AACCUAGCACACCUGCGGUGUGUACCUGCGGAAGGAUCAUUAAUAGAGUGUAUACCCCCCGGUAAAAAAGGGGGGUAACCUCCCGUCCUUUGUUGGUCCCCUAUUUAGGGGGUCUUUUAUUUUAACUUUGCUUCGGUGGGGUAACCCACCGGAACACCCCCAAAAAUCCUUGAUUUCAAAAACUGUUCAGUCCGAGAAAAACUUUUAAUAAAAUUAAAACUUUCAACAAUGGAUCUCAGA
rnacentral:misc_RNA from 1 species